GGGAGAUCAAUAACGCUUUCAAUUCUCCAGCAAGAAGCAAUUGUUUUGAUGCCUUGUCGAAUUUAUAUAUUACCUCGUGCUCACUCUCAUACCCAUUUGUAAGCAUGAGCAAUUCUUGGUGAAGUGCCAAUUAGAGGGAUUCACAGGCUUGAGGACUCUUAACGUAACUAAUACUGUUAACCAGUAAGACAAUUACACGUAAAUAACCAGUUUUCUAUAAUCAUUUUUAAAUUAUAUUU
rnacentral:misc_RNA from 1 species